rnacentral:misc_RNA from 1 species
GAUGGAACGCAGCGAAAUGCGAUAAGUAAUGUGAAUUGCAGAAUUCAGUGAAUCAUCGAAUCUUUGAACGCACAUUGCGCCCGCCAGUAUUCUGGCGGGCAUGCCUGUUCGAGCGUCAUUUCAACCAUCAAGCCCCCGGCUUGUGUUGGGGACCUGCGGCUGCCGCAGGCCCUGAAAUGCAGUGGCGGGCUCGCUGUCACUCCGAGCGUAGUAGUUACAUCUCGCUCUGGGCGUGCUGCGGGUUCCGGCCGUUAAAAGCCUUAUUUACCCAAGGUUGACCUCGGAUCAGGUAGGAAGACCCGCUGAACUUAAGCAUAUCAAUAAGCGGAGGA